rnacentral:lncRNA from 1 species
UCUUUCUACACCAGUGCUUGGUCUUUUGCUCCAUACGCAUAUGAUGAGGUGCUAGGUGCCAGAGACUGUAGUCUCUGGCCUCAGAGGAACACAGAAGGCAAGUCAGCUACACUAGCACAGUAGCUUAGACUUAGGUAAGUAAACUUUUUAUUAUACAGCAACCCUAAAUUUCUCGUAAGACAAAGUCUUACACUCUGCCUAUGCUCUUCCCCCUCUACAGCCUCAAAAAGAACCAACAAGAAAGAGGAAACCCCCCACCAGGGCUGAGGGACAGCCAGCUUUUUUUCCUUUAUCUUUUCAUAUGAAAAGAAAGAAAAUAUUUGGCUAUGUCUAUGGUUCUUCCAGCUUUCCUGUCUUGUUUGUUUAUAUUUAAUCCUUCAGUGAUGGUAGCCCUGUGAAUAACAUGUGGGCACACACACAUUCACCACACCACAUCCAGGAGUGGGGGGCAAUCACGGAGAAGGGGGCAGCCAUUAGAAAGCAUUGGCUUAGCAACAUGAGGAUGGUGAUAGUGAACCAGAGAUUUUAAAUGUCAAGCUGUUAUGUUCCUUAAAACUUAUAACUGUUCUAAAGCAGUAUUGAGUUUAUUUUCUCCAUCUAUUUCUUUUCACUCCAGAGAUCAUGUUGACCUAGAAAGCGGAGAUCUGAUUGCUGAGAUUAAAGGCUUGCACUGCCAUGAUUAUCUGGAAAAAAGUGAGGCUCUAGAGGCUGUGGCCUAAUGAAGUGAGCAUUGGGGCUGGGUGACUGUGGACUCUGAAAUGACUGACUCUGCAUGUUUGCUACAUUUAUUUCUCUUCUUCCAGCCGGGGAUGAGACUUAGGCUCAUAGAUUUGUGGAAUGUUAGCUUGCUUUGAUAUACCCAAAUUAAGAGACAUUUUUUGCUUUUGGUUUUUGCUGCAUGCUGGCUUGCUUGAUGUGGUUCCCCUUUCUAUCUGUGCUGGGUUCCCAACCUGCCCUGAGGAAUCAAAGUCUUUUUGAUAAAGAAUUGGAAUACAGACCAGCACAGCUGAGCUGACUACCCUCCUUCCCAAGGGACAGAUCAAUUACAAAGAAGAUGGUCCUUCCUCUUGACCCACAGGUAGUAUCCUAAGUACAGUGCAGCCCAUUUUCCCUCUGCACACUCAAUAAAAUGAAGUAAAUAAAUG